AACGAACGCUGGCGGCAUGCCUAAUACAUGCAAGUCGAACGAUCACUUCGGUGGUAGUGGCGCACGGGUGCGUAACGCGUGGGAAUCUGCCCUUGGGUUCGGAAUAACAGCUGGAAACGGCUGCUAAUACCGGAUGAGGACGUAAGUCCAAAGAUUUAUCGCCCAGGGAUGAGCCCGCGUAGGAUUAGCUAGUUGGUGGGGUAAAGGCCUACCAAGGCGACGAUCCUUAGCUGGUCUGAGAGGAUGAUCAGCCACACUGGGACUGAGACACGGCCCAGACUCCUACGGGAGGCAGCAGUAGGGAAUAUUGGACAAUGGGGGCAACCCUGAUCCAGCAAUGCCGCGUGAGUGAUGAAGGCCUUAGGGUUGUAAAGCUCUUUUACCCGAGAUGAUAAUGACAGUAUCGGGAGAAUAAGCUCCGGCUAACUCCGUGCCAGCCGCCGCAGUAACAC
rnacentral:rRNA from 1 species